rnacentral:rRNA from 1 species
UACGUAGGGGGCAAGCGUUGUUCGGAAUUACUGGGCGUAAAGGGCGCGUAGGCGGCAUGGCAAGUCAGGAGUGAAAGGCCUGGGCUCAACCGAGGAACUGCUUUUGAUACUGCCAAGCUAGAGUGCGGAAGAGGCGAGUGGAAUUCCUGGUGUAGCGGUGGAAUGCGCAGAUAUCAGGAGGAACACCGAUGGCGAAGGCAGCUCGCUGGGACGGUACUGACGCUGAGGCGCGAAAGCGUGGGGAGCGAACAGG